UCUCUUAAAAGAUUCCCCAGUCGACAGAACCCCUUCGCUCCCUAUUCUUCCAUCUGGUCUUAUUUCUCCAUUGAGCGCACGGCUAGUCGCUCUCUUCAUUUCUUUCCUCCUCCUCUCUCUCUAACCUCCUUGUAACCCGUGCUGUAGAGGAACAAAUUUGUAGCUUUUAGCGUGAUUAAAGACUACUGUACUGAACCCAACCAUGGUUAGGCCAAGAGCGAGUAUUGGUGUCGCUCGGCCAUCUCUGGCCACAAGAAGAUCGUUACCGCCCCCUUGUGCUGUCUUUGUGGUUCAAGAUAAUUUUUUAGCGAUAAUCCAACUAUUUGGGGUAUUACAUUUUACGUAUCAAUGUGCUUAUUCAUAAGAAUUAUCCAUAUGAUACUUUCUCUUGGAUUAAAACUCAUAAUACUUCGAUCAUCUUUAAUAGUUUUCAGUAUUCAAUGGAUUUGAGGAGGCUCCCUAUCACCAAACCCUCACCUAUCUUCUACCCCGUCACGCGCCCCUUAACCUGCGUGACCUCCCCUGGCCACCACCACCAGGACCAACCUCCUCAGCCUCAGCCUCAGCCUACGCCGCCGCCGCCGCCAUUACAGCACCAUAGCCAUCGACAACCUUCCAACCAGAGUUUGCCCAACUGGGUAUCUUCUAUUCUCUCAAACCCAUCUCUAGAUUCUUCCAAGUGUAAAGCACUCAUGCCCCAUUUGUCUCCUUCCGAUUUUGAUCUGAUAUUCUUCUCUGUUAAAUCCAAUGUGAACCCCAAAACCGCUUUGAAUUUCUUUUAUUUUGCGUCUGAAGCUUUUAAGUUUCGGUUUACUGUGAGGUCAUAUUGCCUUUUGAUUCAUUUGCUUAUUGUAUCGAACCUGGUUUCUCCUGCAAGAUUGCUUUUGAUCCGUUUGCUUGAUGGGAAAAUGCCUGUUUUAUAUGCCGAACCUAAGAACCGGCAUAUUGAGAUUGCCAAUGCGAUAGCAGAUUUGAAUUCUGCAUCCGAGCGGCUUCUUGGGGUUCAGGCACUGGAUUUGUUGGUACAUGUUUGUUGUACCCAGUUUAAGAAUCUGGGUUUUGGUUUUGGUAUUGAUGUGUUUCGGUUAUUGGCGAAUAAGUGUAUGUUUCCGUCUUUGAGGACUUGCAAUUUUUUGUUGAGUUCUUUGGUGAACGCAAACGAACUUCAGAAGAGUUAUGAAGUGUUUGAAGUGAUGUGCCGAGGGCUUUCUCCGGAUGUUUACUUGUUUAGUACUGCAAUUAAUGCAUUUUGUAAGGGAAAGAAGGUUGAAGAUGCAAUUGGGUUGUUCAUGAAAAUGGAGGAGUUGGGUAUUGCUCCAAAUGUUGUUACUUACAAUAAUAUUAUUCAUGGGCUAUGCAAGAACAGGAGAUUAGAUGAGGCAUUGCAGUUUAGAGAGAGGAUGGUAAGGAACAAUGUAAACCCAAGUGUUAUAACAUACUGCGUACUAAUUAAUGGUUUUAUUAGGCUCGAGAAAUUUGAUGGAGCAAAUUACAUUUUGAAGGAAAUGUUGGAUAGGGGGAUUGUACCUAAUGAGGUUGUAUAUAACACAUUAAUUGAUGGGUAUUGUAAAGCAGGAAAUGUUAGUCAAGCACUGAAGAUAAGGGAUGAUAUGAUAUCAAAGGGGAUAACUCCUAAUACAGUUACUCUUAAUUCUCUUAUACUGGGUCUUUGCAAAAGUAAUGAUAUGGAACAUGCUGAGCAUGUUUUAGAGGAGAUGAUAUUGAGAGGGUUACCUAUAAGCCAUGUGGCUUAUACUUCGGUCAUUCACGGGUUAUGUAUGAGGUCUAAGUUUGAUUCUGCACUCCUAUUCACCAAGAAGAUGCUGUCAAGAAACACUAGACCCAAUGAUGGGUUGCUGACCACAUUGGUUGUUGGACUUUGUAAGAAUGGAAAGCAUUCAGAGGCAGUUGAACUUUGGUUUAGGCUAUUGAAGAAAGGUUUUCCAGCCAAUACAGUAACGUCAAAUGCUCUAAUUCAUGGACUUUGUGAAGUAGGUAACAUGGAAGGGGCUGUUAGGCUACUUAAGGAGAUGCUAGAGAGGGGUUUGGUACUGGAUAGGAUCACAUACAACACACUCAUUUUGGGGUGUUGCAAAGAGGGAAAAGUGGAGGAGGCUUUUAAGUUAAGGGAAGAGAUGGCUAAACAAGGAAUUCAACCAGACGCCUUUACUUACAAUUUGCUAAUACAUGGGUGGUGUAAUAUGGGUAAAGUGGAUGAUGCUGUUAAGUUUUGGGACGAAUGCAAGAGAAAUGGUAUGGUUUCUAACGUUUAUACAUAUGGGGUGAUAAUAGAUGGAUAUUGUAAAGCUAACAGAAUUGAUGAGGGUGAAAAACUAUUCAAUGAGGUUCUUAUUCAGAAAUUGGAGCUAAAUUCUGUUAUUUAUAAUACACUAAUUAGAGCGUACUGUAGAAUUGGGAAUAUGAUGGCAGCCUUUAGACUUCGUGAUGACAUGAAAAGCAAAGGUAUUCCACCUACUUGUAACACAUAUACUUCUCUAAUACAUGGAAUGUGCAAUAUUGGUCAUGUUGAGGAUGCAAAAGACCUUCUCGUUGAAAUGAGAAAGGAGGGUUUGUUGCCGAAUGUCAUUUGUUAUACCGCACUAAUUGGCGGUUAUUGUAAGCUAGGCCAGAUGGAUAAUGUCCAAAGUAUCUUGUUGGAAAUGUCUUCAUAUAAUAUAUGCCCUAAUAAAAUUACCUACACUGUCAUGAUUGAUGGGCAUUGUAAAUUGGGAAAUAUGAAAAAAGCAAAUAAGCUUCUACAUGAGAUGGCAGAAAGUGGAAUUCUCCCUGAUGCUGUCACUUAUAAUGCCUUGACAAAUGGGGUUUGCAAAGGGAGGAAGAUAGAUGAAGGAUUUGAGAUAAGAACAGUAAAGGUUAGCAACAUUUCACUACCUGCUUCUGAGAGUGACAACAGAGAAUUAUUUUCAUUUUCUAGUGAUAUUCAAUAUUUUGAAAUGAAAAGGGAAACUGAUAGGACCCAACUUGCCUAUGUUACCUUCAAGGAUUCACGAGGAGAUGCAGCAAUGCUCUUGUCGAUUUAUGAAUAUUCGAGAUAUUCUCCAAAUGUUGGAGACCGUACCCUUCCAAAUAAGCAAAAUUACAUGCAUCUUUUGUUCAUACAAGGAAAUUGCCAUAUAUAGAAUUUAUGUUGAACCACGACAUUAGUGGCCUAGUGCUGUUCCAACCUUGCCUUAAAGAAAAUAGCUAUAUGGAGUUACAAAUAUUGCAAGACAGGAGAGAAGGCAAGCUGCUACUGCUUCUGCUGUUAAGAAGGCUGAAGACGUGUGAGCAUCAUGCUUGCCUGAGGGUUUCAUCUUGGGAAAGGAUGCCAUUAACAAGGCAAAAGUCUUUGAUGAACAGUGUCACUUGACAUCAAAUGCCACUGCCACAGUUGCUUCGAUUCGAUCGCCAAAUGGGACUGAGUGCAUUGGGAUUGCUAUAAUCAAUGAAUAGGUGAGAGAUGAAUGAGCAGGUUCCAGGUAUCUAAGAAGUCAAAAUUUGCCUUAAUUUGCUACGGUUGAAUAGAAGGCAACCGCUGCAGGAUCUAUUAUUAGGAGCCGGAGCUUCAUUGAUUUCAAGUGCAUUUACUACAGUUGCAAAGGCAGAUGAAGAUGUUAGCAUGACGACCAAGGAGAUGUUGAGAAGGCUGAAGAGGAAAAGGAGAUAAGGACAAGGACAAGGACCAUCAAUGACUUCGCAUAAAUCCAUCUUGAUGAGUCUUUCCGCAGUGGAGCCUCCAACGAUUCCAGUCAAAUCAGCCGAUGACAGUAUGCAUGGUAUCAUAUGACUGCUGUGGAUUUUUCUUUAUCCAGUACAGUCGGAUUACUUUUGAAUUUGCUGUAUGAUAUGCUUCAACACUAACGUUCUAUCACAUUGCCUGUUGGACAGCAGUAAGUCACGUUAAUUGCUCUAGUGAAUUUAGAAUUGUCUGGCUGGCUUCUUAGGCUUCCAUUGAAUUCAAUUCUAGGUAGAAAAAUGUAUAGCUGCCUCUGGAAGGAGCUGAUCUCAAAUCAAGUUAGUAGCAGUCUUGGUCUACCUAGAUCAUGCAUUUUGUUUUCAGAGUAGAAAUUUUUGUUCUUUUGGUUUAUAUAUAUGAAGUACAUUCUAUCU